rnacentral:rRNA from 1 species
AGAGUUUGAUCCUGGCUCAGAACGAACGCUGGCGGCGUGCUUAACACAUGCAAGUCGAACGCGAAAGGGACUUCGGUCCUGAGUAAAGUGGCGCACGGGUGAGUAACGCGUGGAUAAUCUACCCAAUGAUCUGGGAUAACAUUUCGAAAGGGGUGCUAAUACCGGAUAAGACCACGGAGUCUCUGGACUCUGCGGUAAAAGGUGGGGACCUUCGGGCCUACCGUCAUCGGAUGAGUCCGCGUACCAUUAGCUGGUUGGUGGGGUAAUGGCCCACCAAGGCUACGAUGGUUAGCUGGUCUGAGAGGAUGAUCAGCCACACUGGAACUGAGACACGGUCCAGACUCCUACGGGAGGCAGCAGUGGGGAAUUUUGCGCAAUGGGGGAAACCCUGACGCAGCAACGCCGCGUGAGUGAUGAAGGCUUUCGGGUCGUAAAGCUCUGUCAGAAGGGAAGAAAUGUGGGUGGCUAAUAUCCAUACCACUUGACGGUACCUUCAAAGGAAGCACCGGCUAACUCCGUGCCAGCAGCCGCGGUAAUACGGAGGGUGCGAGCGUUGUUCGGAAUUAUUGGGCGUAAAGCGCGUGUAGGCGGUCUUUUAAGUCUGAUGUGAAAGCCCUGGGCUCAACCCAGGAAGUGCAUUGGAAACUGGGAGACUUGAAUACGGGAGAGGGUAGUGGAAUUCCUAGUGUAGGAGUGAAAUCCGUAGAUAUUAGGAGGAACACCGGUGGCGAAGGCGGCUACCUGGACCGAUAUUGACGCUGAGACGCGAAAGCGUGGGGAGCAAACAGGAUUAGAUACCCUGGUAGUCCACGCCGUAAACGAUGAGUACUAGGUGUUGCGGGUAUUGACCCCUGCAGUGCCGCAGCUAACGCAUUAAGUACUCCGCCUGGGAAGUACGGUCGCAAGACUAAAACUCAAA